rnacentral:rRNA from 1 species
GCAUAUCAAUAAGCGGAGGAAAAGAAACCAACAGGGAUUGCCCUAGUAACGGCGAGUGAAGCGGCAACAGCUCAAAUUUGAAAUCUGGCUCUCUUUGGGGGUCCGAGUUGUAAUUUGCAGAGGAUGCUUUGGCAUUGGCGGCGGUCUAAGUUCCUUGGAACAGGACAUCACAGAGGGUGAGAAUCCCGUACGUGGUCGCCUGCCUUUGCCGUGUAAAGCUCCUUCGACGAGUCGAGUUGUUUGGGAAUGCAGCUCUAAAUGGGAGGUAAAUUUCUUCUAAAGCUAAAUACUGGCCAGAGACCGAUAGCGCACAAGUAGAGUGAUCGAAAGAUGAAAAGUACUUUGGAAAGAGAGUCAAAAAGCACGUGAAAUUGUUGAAAGGGAAGCGCUUGCAGCCAGACUUGCCCGCAGUUGCUCACCUAGGCUUUGGCCUGGGGCACUCUUCUGCGGGCAGGCCAGCAUCAGUUUGGGCGGUUGGAUAAAGGCCUCUGUCACGUAUCUCCCUUCGGGGUGACCUUAUAGGGGAGGCGCAAUGCACCCAGCCCGGACUGAGGUCCGCGCAUCUGCUAGGAUGCUGGCGUAAUGGCUGUAAGCGGCCCGUCUUGAAACACGGACCAAGGAGUCUAACAUCUAUGCGAGUGUUUGGGUGUCAAGCCCGAGCGCGCAAUGAAAGUGAACGGAGGUGGGAACCCUUUGGGUGCACCAUCGACCGAUCCUGAUGUCUUCGGAUGGAUUUGAGUAAGAGCAUAGCUGUUGGGACCCGAAAGAUGGUGAACUAUGCUUGAAUAGGGUGAAGCCAGAGGAAACUCUGGUGGAGGCUCGCAGCGGUUCUGACGUGCAAAUCGAUCGUCAAAUUUGGGCAUAGGGGCGAAAGACUAAUCGAACCAUCUAGUAGCUGGUUCCUGCCGA